rnacentral:lncRNA from 1 species
CAGGGUCUCAUGGAGCUGGAACACAAUGGCCCCACCCCAUGGAGAGAGUAGGGCAUCCCCAGGAAGAGUCUCAGGGCUGGUGACAGCCUGAGAAGUGAAAGGGAGAAGCAGGGCCUUGCGGAACCCGGGCCAGGACAGUGGCGGCCAGGCCGGGACACGGUAAGUGACCUCCGCUUCCACGCGUCCAUUCCCCGCCGCUCCGCGCGGCUUCUCGCCCGCCCCUACCCCGAGGCCAGGCCGGAAUCCCCGAGGGAAGAGCCUGUCGCCGCGG